rnacentral:rRNA from 1 species
UUAAUGCCGAGAUCUGAUGGGGUUCGCGAAUGAGUGAUGAAGGUGCAAAUGCUCGGCUGCCGAGAAAAGCUUCUAGGGAAUACUUGGUUGCCCGUACUUUAAACCGACGCAGGUGGGUAGGCUUAGAAGGCCAAGGCGGACGGGAUAACUCUCGUUAAGGAACUCUGCAAGUUAACUCCGUAACUUCGGGAGAAGGAGUGGCUUGGGACGUGAAAACUUUUACAGAUGUAGCGUUUCAGGCUCGCAGAAACCAGGCUCAGGCGACUGUUUAACUAAAACACAGGACUCUGCUGAAGACGUAAGUCGACGUAUAGGGUCUGCCCCAGUAAACGGCGGCCGUAACUAUAACGGUCCUAAGGUAGCGAAAUUCCUUGUCGGGUAAGUUCCGACCUGCACGAAUGGUGUAACGAUCUGAGCGCUGUCUCGACGAGAGACCCGGUGAAAUUGUGGUACUGGUAAAGACGCCAGUUACCCGUAGUAGGACGGAAAGACCCCGUGGAGCUUUACUGUAGCUUGAUAUUGGACUUCGGUACACUCUGUACAGAAUAGGUGGGAGUCUUUGAAGCAUGGGCGCCAGCUUAUGCGGAGACGCCGUUGGGAUACCACCCUUGGUGUGCUGGGGUUCUAACCGCAAUAAGAAGUUGCGGGACACUGUCAGGUGGGCAGUUUGACUGGGGCGGUCGCCUCCCAAAGAGUAACGGAGGCGCGCGAAGGUCACCUCAUGACGAAUGGAAAUCGUCAAUUGAGCGUAAGGGUAUAAGGUGGCUUGACUGCGAGAGAGACAUUUCGAGCAGGAACGAAAGUUGGUCCUAGUGAUCCGGUGGUCCUGAGUGGAAAGGCCAUCGCUCAUCGGAUAAAAGCUACCCCGGGGAUAACAGGCUGAUGCCGCCCGAGAGUUCCCAUCGACGGCGGCGUUUGGCACCUCGAUGUCGGCUCAUCGCAUCCUGGGGCUGAAGCAGGUCCCAAGGGUUGGUCUGUUCGCCCAUUAAAGCGGUACGUGAGCUGGGUUCAGAACGUCGUGAGACAGUUCGGUCCCUAUCCACUACGGGCGCAGGGUAUUUGAGGGGAUCUGUCCCUAGUACGAGAGGACCGGGAUGGACGGACCGCUAGUGUACCGGUUGUACUGCCAAGUGCAUAAGCCGGGUAGCCAUGUUCGGAUCGGAUAACCGCUGAAGGCAUCUAAGCGGGAAGCCGGCCCCAAGAUGAGAUACCCCACUGCGUAAGCAGAUAAGGUGUCCCGGGGUUUGAUAGGUCGGGGGUGUAAGCGGGUAACGCCCGUUGAGCUGACCGAUACUAAUACACCGAAGCCUUAACCUC